CAACCUACCUACCUUCAUUUUGCUUUCAGGAAAGGACUAUACGCCUGCUAUAUGACUGCUUGGAGCGGUGAGGCAGACCGUGUGGCAGGACACCCCUGGGAGUGACUGGAAAUCAACAGCUGCCUAUGAAAUCAGCAAAAAAAAAGGUGGGAAAGUGGAUCCUGGAUAAAAGUCCUGCCCAAGACAAGACUCCAAGCUGAGGACUCCAAUUAUCUAUAAAUCACUUCUAUUUCCUGCAGAGGAAGCGAAAAAGGAGGGAAGAGUAAGACAGGCAGAAAUAGACAGAAGAUAUGCUAAGUGAAAUAUUUGAUACCUGUCCUAAACUGAAUUUACCUCAAAAGCAACCUGAUACACCCCAAAACUAAGCUUACAGGAAACAUGUUGCUAUUGUUUUCAGCUUAACAGUGAAAUAAAAUAAAUUUCUUUUAGUUGUUCCAUUAGUACAAAAUGUGUAACAUCUUAUGUAUUUCCAAGACAAUAGCACUACUGAUUCUGAAUUAUUAAAGAUUAC